AACGGACGCUGGCGGCAGGCUUAACACAUGCAAGUCGAACGCCCCGCAAGGGGAGUGGCAGACGGGUGAGUAACGCGUGGGAACAUACCCCUUCCUGCGGAAUAGCUCUGGGAAACUGGAAUUAAUACCGCAUACGCCCUACGGGGGAAAGAUUUAUCGGGGAAGGAUUGGCCCGCGUUGGAUUAGCUAGUUGGUGGGGUAAAGGCCUACCAAGGCGACGAUCCAUAGCUGGUCUGAGAGGAUGAUCAGCCACAUUGGGACUGAGACACGGCCCAAACUCCUACGGGAGGCAGCAGUGGGGAAUAUUGGACAAUGGGCGCAAGCCUGAUCCAGCCAUGCCGCGUGAGUGAUGAAGGCCUUAGGGUUGUAAAGCUCUUUCACCGAUGAAGAUAAUGACGGUAGUCGGAGAAGAAGCCCCGGCUAACUUCGUGCCAGCCGCCGCCGUAAUAC
rnacentral:rRNA from 1 species